rnacentral:rRNA from 1 species
UACGUAGGGUGCGAGCGUUGUCCGGAAUUACUGGGCGUAAAGAGCUCGUAGGUGGUUUGUCGCGUUGUCCGUGAAAACUCACAACUCAAUUGUGGGCCUGCGGGCGAUACGGGCAGACUGGAGUACUGCAGGGGAGACUGGAAUUCCUGGUGUAGCGGUGGAAUGCGCAGAUAUCAGGAGGAACACCGGUGGCGAAGGCGGGUCUCUGGGCAGUAACUGACGCUGAGGAGCGAAAGCGUGGGGAGCGAACAGG